UUAGAAUAAGUUGAGAAGUUUGGAAAAACAUGUGAAUUUUCGUGUCAAGUUUCGGGACGAAACUUCUUUUAAGAGGGGUAGAUUGUAAUCCCCCGUAAUUUUAUACAUUUUAUUCAUAUAUUUUAACGAAUAUUUAAUAUAUUUAAUAUAUAUUUAAACAUAAAUUACGGAUUUUAGAAACGAAUAUGUAAUUGAAAUGUAAUUAUUUUAUUUCAUUUGGAAUACUUUUAAUGAUUUACGAAAUCAAAAUGUAUUUUUGAAUUUUACGUUAAAACGAAUUCGAAUUUCGAAAUCACGUUUGAUUGAAAUUACCGAGCAAUCCUAACCAUUUUGGAUUCAAUAACCAAUCCUACUCCUAGCCCAAUUGGGUAAAGCCCAAACCACUAAAACCCAAAACAAAUACUCCCUCCCCUUUGUUAUUCACGUGAACCCCAAAAAGAAACCAAAGAAAAAAAAAAAGAAAACCCUCCCCUUCUCUCUACUCUUCACGUGAAAACCAAAAGAAAGGAAACCAAAACCCUCUUUCACUAUUCACGUACAUUGCAAACCUUCAAGAACUCUCUCUCCUUCCUUCACGCCGUGGCACUUCCUCUGCCGCCGACCCACUGCCGCCGCCGGACCGCCGCCACCGCAAAGCACCACCGUGUGCCGCCGUGCUCAGCCCUGCCGCAAGCCACCUCUGUCCGCCAGCCGUUGCUCUCUCUCUCCUCCUUCUUGAAUUGGCGGAGAAUUCUCUUUAGGCGACUUUUGAAAGUGUUAAAGUGGCCUAUCAGUUUGUUUACACAAGGUACGUACAUACCUGUGUGCUUGGAAUGUGUGCUAAUUGUUGAAACCAUGUUGAAUUGUUGAUGAACUUGGUUAUGUUAAUGUUGUUGAUGAACUUAGUCAGGUUGAAAUUGCAUGUUUGAUACUGUUGGAUGAACAUAUUAAACUUAUAUUGCAUUUUGAGGAUUAUAACAUGUUAGUAUGGAAGAUUGAUGCAAACAUGUUUG